rnacentral:rRNA from 1 species
UACGUAGGGGGCAAGCGUUGUCCGGAAUCAUUGGGCGUAAAGAGCGUGUAGGCGGUCCGAUAAGUCCGCUCUGAAAGCCCGGGGCUCAACCCCGGGAGGCGGGCGGAUACUGUCGGGCUAGAGUCCGGAAGAGGCAAGUGGAAUUCCUGGUGUAGCGGUGAAAUGCGCAGAUAUCAGGAGGAACACCGAUGGCGAAGGCAGCUUGCUGGGACGGUACUGACGCUGAGACGACGAAAGCGUGGGGAGCAAACAGG